CAGAAACUUUGUCCCGCCUGUUUUCCGAAGCUGGUACUUGACGUUGGCCAGCCAGUGGCUGAUGGUGGUCAUGGAGAGUCCUGUGAACUUGGAGAUUUGCAUCCGCUCUUGAGGCCCCAGAUCGGACAGCAGAGUCGCACGGCAGGAAGAGAGAUUAUGAGAUUUGGAAACUGAGGUUUGAAGAUUAGAAAAUUCACCCAAGGCCACACAGCUUGUUGCAGAGUGGCAGCAAGACCCCAAGUGCCUUAUCCAGGAGGCUCUGCUCCGAUGAGACUUGCAGGUUCAAGGUUAAACAGCGG